ensembl:snRNA U6 U6 spliceosomal RNA
UUACUUACUAUGUCAGUUCAUACACUAAAACUGGAACUAUACAGAGAAGAUUAAAACAGCUUCUGUGCAAGGAUAGAAUAUUAUUUCAUAAAUCAUUCUAUAUUUUG